CAGUCGCCACGGUAAUACAGAGGGUGCGAGCGUUAAUCGGAUUUACUGGGCGUAAAGCGUGCGUAGGCGGCUAAUUGAGUCGGAUGUGAAAUCCCCGAGCUUAACUUGGGAAUUGCAUUCGAUACUGGUUAGCUAGAGUGUGGGAGAGGAUGGUAGAAUUCCAGGUGUAGCGGUGAAAUGCGUAGAGAUCUGGAGGAAUACCGAUGGCGAAGGCAGCCAUCUGGCCUAACACUGACGCUGAGGUACGAAAGCAUGGGGAGCAAACAGGAUUAGAGACCCCAGUAGUCCCUGUCUCUUAUAC
rnacentral:rRNA from 1 species